GGGAGGGGGUGGUGGGGGCAUUGCACCCCCUGGUAGAGGAGGUGGAGGAGGUGGUGGGGGCAUUGCACCCCCUGGUAGAGGAGGUGGAGGAGGUGGUGGGGGCAUUGCACCCCCUGGUAGAGGAGGUGGAGGAGGUGGUGGGGGCAUUGCACUCCCUGGUAGAGGAGGUGGAGGAGGUGGUGGGGGCAUUGCACCCCCUGGUAGAGGAGGUGGAGGUGGUGGUGGAGGCAUUGCACCCCCUGGUAGAGGUGGUGGUGGAGGAGGAGCCAUGGAGUGACCAGGUAAAGGAGGUGGAGGUGGGGGUGGGGGUUUAAUGCCACUCGGCUG